GACGAACGCUGGCGGCGUGCCUAAUACAUGCAAGUCGAGCGCAGGAAAUCGACGGAACCCUUCGGGGGGAAGUCGAUGGAAUGAGCGGCGGACGGGUGAGUAACACGUAAAGAACCUGCCUCAGGUCUGGGAUAACCACGAGAAAUCGGGGCUAAUACCGGAUGGGUCAUCGGACCGCAUGGUCCGAGGAUGAAAGGCGCUUCGGCGUCGCCUGGGGAUGGCUUUGCGGUGCAUUAGCUAGUUGGUGGGGGAAUGGCCCACCAAGGCGACGAUGCAUAGGCGACCGGAGAGGGUGAUCGGCCACACUGGGACGGAGACACGGCCCAGACUCCUACGGGAGGAAGCAGUAGGGAAUCUUCCACAAUGGACGAAAGUCUGAUGGAGCAACGCCGCGUGAACGAUGAAGGCCUUCGGGUCGUAAAGUUCUGUUGUAAGGGAAGAACAAGUGCCGCAGGCAAUGGCGGCACCUUGACGGUACCUUGCGAGAAAGCCACGGCUAACUACGUGCCAGCCGCCGCAGUAA
rnacentral:rRNA from 1 species